UCAGUAAUGCUAAGAAUUCCAUUUUUUUGCAUAUUCUUUUCCUGUUGGGCAAGCCAACUGUCAGCUUUAGGUCAGAUUCUUGUUUGAACAGCAGAGGAGCACAGAUUACGGUAAUUCUAAUCUUAAACAUUGUAUUUUAUGUCAUGCUUGUGAGGCUCAGCUCUGUUAUAAAUAACUAAAUUACUUACUGAGUUGCAGUGAGAAAGGAGAUAAAUACGGUGAGGGGGCAGGACUGUCACAUCUGUGCCAUAGAAGCUGCAAAGACUACAAAUACACAAGGAGGACGCGACUGAGCUCUGGAUUCUUCAAGACAUAAGAAGUAUAGCAGGAAAAGGCCCACAUGACUCAGAAGAUGUAUCCUCAAGAGCAGAACUGAGAGAGACUUUCUGCAUAUUUCAUGAGUCUUCAUCAUUAAAGCUACACAUCAGAUAUUCAGCCCAUCUUGGACUUCUAAAGUGCAGUAUUUACCCUCAAUUUCACAGGAUUUUUUGAUUCUAAAAAUAAUCCAUCUGUGGGUGUGUCCCAGGAUGCCCACCAUCCGCACACUGUGUCCACUUUCAUCUGGGACUCAUGCCUGGUGCCAGGGGCAUCAACCACCCAGACACUACUGUCAGCAUCGGGACACAGGGUCAGAGAGAGGGAAACCGGGAGAAUUACAGAGAGAGAGAUGAAGAGAGAAUGUGUUUAAGAGGGAGGGCAGGAGGAGGAGAGUAAAACAGGAACAAACCGGAUUCUCCAUCCUGUAGGAGACAGACAGACAGACGGGUCUGGGAGGGAGGCUGGAGGUUUGUUCUCCUCGAAAAAACAGACAGCAACUCUGAAUUUUUUCAAAAUCAGCAAGAGAUGUAGAGGUGUCAGCAGAUGCAUAAUGCAACAGGGCGUCACCUCGUAGCAGACCGUCAGUUAAGUACCACACACACACUUACACACACGUUUACAGUGUGUGUAAUGGGGCGGUCUUUUUUUCUUCACAAUCCAUCAUUUCUCUGCAGAACCCCUGCUCAGAAACUCUUUACACCAGAAUGGUGUGGCAGUGGCUUUCUCACUCACUCUUUCUUGCCUAUAGGAAAGUGAAUAUUUUAUCAUCAGAAAGGGCCAUGCACAGACCUAUUCAUAGUUUAGCCCCUAAUGAGUAAUUCAUUUGAGGCUUCUGCAAAAAAUAUGUAUGCAUAAUUAAUGGCUUACGAUCUUUUAAGUAUUCAUGAGCCACUCACUACAUGGGUGAAACACCCUCCAAGGUCCUUGUGGCUGGUCUGAGAUAAGUAUUGAGAUUUUUAUUUUAGAUGCCCAUUUCUAACUCC